CCUACGUGUGGCAGCAGUGGGGAAUAUUGCGCAAUGGGCGAAAGCCUGACGCAGCGACGCCGCGUGAGGGAUGAAGGUCUUCGGAUCGUAAACCUCUGUCAGCAGGGAAGAACGGUCACUGUGCUAAUCAGCAGUGAAUUGACGGUACCUGCAAAGGAAGCACCGGCUAACUCCGUGCCAGCAGCCGCGGUAAUACGGAGGGUGCGAGCGUUAAUCGGAAUUACUGGGCGUAAAGCGCUCGUAGGCGGUAUGUCAAGUCAAGGGUGAAAUCCCCGCGCUGAACGUGGGAACUGCCUUUGAAACUGGCAAACGAGAGUGUGUGAGAGGAGAGUGGAAUUCCAGGUGUAGGAGUGAAAUCCGUAGAUAUCUGGAGGAACAUCAGUGGCGAAGGCGACUAUCUGGCACAUAACUGACGCUGAGGAGCGAAAGCGUGGGUAGCAAACAGGAUUAGAUACCCGUGUAGUC
rnacentral:rRNA from 1 species